rnacentral:rRNA from 1 species
UAUGGUAGUGCCAGCAGCCGCGGUAAUACGGAAGGUCCGGGCGUUAUCCGGAUUUAUUGGGUUUAAAGGGAGCGUAGGCCGGAGAUUAAGCGUGUUGUGAAAUGUAGAUGCUCAACAUCUGAACUGCAGCGCGAACUGGUUUCCUUGAGUACGCACAAAGUGGGCGGAAUUCGUGGUGUAGCGGUGAAAUGCUUAGAUAUCACGAAGAACUCCGAUUGCGAAGGCAGCUCACUGGAGCGCAACUGACGCUGAAGCUCGAAAGUGCGGGUAUCGAACAGG